UCAAAUUAUUUCCAUUGGAGAGGUUGAGCUAGCCAGAUGGCUGGCAUGUCCCCGUUGUGGUGAAUACAUGGUUAUGGCUACUUAUUGGAUCAGUUGGGUGUCUAAAUACAUCUGCUACUUUGGCUGUUUGAUAAUACUUACUAAAAACCCACACUUAACCCUCAUUUUCUUAUUUCUUUUCAUGUUGUAGGUGAUAAUUCUUGCUCGAGAGUCUGGUCUAAGGCUAGAACUAUCUAAUAUUCCCAUUGAAAACCUUGUGCCUGAGCCACUAAGAGCUAGUGCUUCUGCUGAGGAAUUUAUGCAAAAACUACCUCAAUUCGAUCAGGAUAUGGCUAAAAACCAACAGGAUGCUGAGGAUGCGGGGGAAGUAUUGAGAGACGUCAGGGUUGUUGUUAUGGUUAAUGUGAAAGGUGUGGUGGAGUUGCGAAGAUACAAGAAAGAUCAUCCAUUUGCACAACCCUCUGGAUCAGAUAAUAUAAUUGCCUUUUCGACAACAAGAUACAAAAACUAGCUUUUGAUAGUCCGAGGACCAGGUGCUGGGGCUGAAGUCACUGCUGGUGGAGUAUUCAGUGACAUAUUGCAACUCGCCUCUUACCUUGGCGCUC